rnacentral:rRNA from 1 species
UGGGGAAUAUUGCACAAUGGGCGCAAGCCUGAUGCAGCGACGCCGCGUGGGGGAUGACGGCCUUCGGGUUGUAAACCUCUUUCAGUACCGACGAAGCGUAAGUGACGGUAGGUACAGAAGAAGCACCGGCCAACUACGUGCCAGCAGCCGCGGUAAUACGUAGGGUGCGAGCGUUGUCCGGAAUUACUGGGCGUAAAGAGCUCGUAGGUGGUUUGUCGCGUUGUCCGUGAAAACUCACAGCUUAACUGUG